rnacentral:rRNA from 1 species
CUAACAAUGCAAGUCGAGGGGUAUAGGUUUUCGGACCUAGAGACCGGCGCACGGGUGCGUAACGCGUAUGCAAUCUACCUUUUACAGCGGGAUAGCCCAGAGAAAUUUGGAUUAAUACCGCAUAGUAUAGCAGUUUCGCAUGAGACCACUAUUAAAGUCGCAACGGUAAAAGAUGAGCAUGCGUCCCAUUAGUUAGUUGGUAAGGUAACGGCUUACCAAGACUACGAUGGGUAGGGGUCCUGAGAGGGAGAUCCCCCACACUGGUACUGAGACACGGACCAGACUCCUACGGGAGGCAGCAGUGAGGAAUAUUGGACAAUGGGCGCAAGCCUGAUCCAGCCAUGCCGCGUGCAGGAUGACGGUCCUAUGGAUUGUAAACUGCUUUUAUACGAGAAGAAACACUACUUCGUGAAGUAGCUUGACGGUAUCGUAAGAAUAAGGAUCGGCUAACUCCGUGCCAGCAGCCGCGGUAAU